AUGGAUCAUUGUCAUGUGCUGUUACUGCUGGUGGCAUGGCAGCCAGACAAAACUACGCUUUGGAGAUGGAAAUGUUUUAAUGGAAAAACAAUAAUCACUGUCAGGCUCUCCAUCUGUGUUCAUGGUCCUGCCAUCAGGUUUCACCAGACUGCUGUUUUGUGGAAGCCCAGCCCUGGUCACAGCCAUCAGUCAGCUGAGGUACUUGCUCCUCUCUCUGCUCCUUACUCACGAGCAGACCCUGCUUGCAGCACUUCAGCAAUUUGGCAAGGAGAGAGCCAGGAUGAGGUGAGUGAUUUGUUCACUAGCGCGAUGGCAGGACCCCUGGUUCUUGUUAAAGGCACGGGAGAUAAGAGAUACUGUUGAUGUUUUAAGGUGUUCUUAUCAUAGACUUGAGCCCCAAAUGGCACUUCAUCCACACUUUCUCUCCAGCUUGUUGACGAAAAUGGAGCACUUUCUCCUGCUGUCUCCAGUCUCUGGAAAGCCCCUAGACAAAAGAAUAAUUUUUCAGACACAUCAUUUCCUUUUGUGAAUCAAACUCUAACCCCUUAAUGUUCAGCAAAUAAUUUGUUCCAAAGGGACUGUGUUGUAUGUGAUCGUAAUUACAUUUGGUUUUUAAUAAUCAUAAACACUCUUAUUUUCUAAGAACCAGCAAAACUGAUUUCCAAAUCAUUUAAUUUGAAUGGCAUGUUUUGUGUUUGUGUAGCAUCUUCUCCCCCCAUACACACUUCUAAAGAAAAACAAACAAUGUAUUAAAAAAAAAAAAAAAGGCAAGUGUGGGGGAAAAACCUUGGAGAACUUUAAAAGACUCUAAACCUGAAAAGGGAGGGUGGGAUCAGCUAAUUUGUCCCUCUUUUGUGUCGUUUAUUAAGCCUUUUGUUCUGGAACGCAUGGGUUCAGUGGGAAAGCGGUUUUUGAUAUAUAAUGUAUUUACUUUUGCUAAUUAAUUAAAGCAGUAUUCAUAUGAAAAUGCCGACUGAUAAUGGCUUUCACAGCAACAACUGUGUUUUUUAAAGUAGCAACUUUUAAUUACAAAUUGACUGGCAGAAAUAUAUAAACCCAAAUAUUGUUCCACUGAUUUCCUUUUAACUGUGUUACUCUUGCUUGAUUUAUCGGAUUAGGGCUUUUCACACAUAGUGCGUACAAGAUAUUGUUUUUAAUGAGAAAUUAAAAGAUUACCAACAAUACCCAUAAACCAUUAAAAACACAAACUCUAGAUGAAUGGUAAUUAGACAGAAUGAUUUGAGGCUGAUAAAUUGAAAGCAAUUAAUGUAUUUGUUUGGGAUUCUGAAGAUAGCUGUGUUCCAGAAAGCACUGAAGGGUUCAGAUUUGGUGCUGGAUUGCGUACAGAGAUACCUGCACAGCU
rnacentral:lncRNA from 1 species